UACGUAGGCAGCAAGCGUUGUUCGGAGUUACUGGGCGUAAAGGGUGUGUAGGCGGUUCUUUAAGUUUGGUGUGAAAUCUCCCGGCUCAACUGGGAGGGUGCGCCGAAUACUGAGGGACUAGAGUACGGGAGAGGAAAGUGGAAUUCCUGGUGUAGCGGUGAAAUGCGUAGAUAUCUGGAGGAACACCGGUGGCGAAGGCGGCAUCCUGGACCAAUACUGACGCUGAGGAGCGAAAGCCAGGGGAGCAAACGGG
rnacentral:rRNA from 1 species